UACGAAGGGGGCUAGCGUUGUUCGGAUUUACUGGGCGUAAAGCGCACGUAGGCGGAUCGUUAAGUCGGGGGUGAAAUCCUGGAGCUCAACUCCAGAACUGCCUUCGAUACUGGCGCUCUUGAGUCCGGAAGAGGUGAGUGGAACUCCUAGUGUAGAGGUGGAAUUCGUAGAUAUUAGGAAGAACACCAGUGGCGAAGGCGGCUCACUGGUCCGGUACU
rnacentral:rRNA from 1 species